GAAAAAAAAAAAAGGCUUCAAAAAUCAAGCAUAAUCAAUCUGAGAUCUGAAGUUGAACAAAAACUUAUCUAAUCAGACCUGUGCAGUUGUAAGAAACUGUAAUUUUAGAACAGCACCAUCAAUUAAAUAAAAACAAAAAAAGAAAGAAAAUUUUGCAUUGGUGAGAGGCUGGAAUUCGAUUGUGAGAGAACAAUUUAAUUUAACAAGCGAAAAAUGUUUUAAAAUCUGUUAAAAGAGAUUUUGAAAGAUAGGGUUGACAAAGAAGACUCAUGGGUGAAAAUUUUACUUGUUCUCAUUGUUUAGUGUACUGAGAAAACAUUUGCAGAUUUGUAUAUGAUAUUUCAAAAUUUAAGUUUACAGAGCUUUCUUUUUCUCAGUUUCCAAACACUAUGGCCAAAUCUGGAAAAGUGAAGUAAAAAGCCUUUAAAGUCAAAAACAACUUGAAAAAGUAAAAAUCCAGUCAAACUGAAAAAUUCGACAAGUUUGUCGAAGCUACAAAAACUAUCCCUUGAAGCUUAAUCAAAUCACGAAGCCAAAAAAGUAAAGCCAGCCCAUUAAUUCUUUUAUGUUAAUACCAAAUGGGUGCUCAUCAGAUCCCCACAUAACACAAUCCAUACAUCUCCCAAUACAAAAAUCUCUCACUGUAUAAAUUGGUACCUUCUCUGCUUUCUCUUCAUCUUCUCCUUGUUCAACUCUCUCCAAGGCAGGCAAGUCCUCGGCGGAGAUCGGCGGAGGGUCACCGUCAGUCAUCAGAGGUAUUUUCUUGCCGAAGAGCUUGAUGGCGGGAUCCUUACCAGUAUUUUCUUGCAUUUUCUUUUAGUUUCUGGGUAAACGCCCGAGAUAAAUCUCACUGUCUUUGUUGGCAAUCUGGCAUGGAAU
rnacentral:misc_RNA from 1 species